CUCGAUGGGGCGCCUGGCUGGCUCAGGCGGGGCAACGUGCGACUCUUGAUUUCUGGUUCCUGAGUUCUGGCCCCCACCCCCCACCCCCACCCCCACUCCCACCCCCGCCCCCAUCCCCGCGUUGAGUCUAGAGCUGGCUUUAAAAAGCAAACAAAGCAAACAAACAAACAAAAAACCCCAACACUUCGAUUUCCAAAUAGAUUCAUAACAUUGUAAGGGCUUGAGUGUUUUUAGGGGGUCUCAGUGUUUCUUUUUUCAAAUGUGACGCUGCCGAAUACGUACAUCAGAUAAUAAAAUAGCCUUCUACACAAAGAGCGCAAUGGGAUGAAACUGUGCAGCUGCCCAGAAAACUAAAAAGAUUUAGAACAGGGACAGUGGAUCCCCACUGGAUGAGAUGAUCAUGAGUCUACCUUGAGACCUUCAGGAAACACGAGGCCUGGAAGAAUUCGCCGUCAUGACCCGCCCCCCACCCCCACCCCAGGUCUCCUCCACCAGCCCUGGGGGAAAUGUCAGCGGGCAAAGUUCAACUCCUUCAUCUACAACAUGGGUAAACCGAGGCCCAGCAAGGAAUGCGGUCAGCCUUGCCUGAGGCAGGCGGAGUGGUGCCCUCAGCCAGACUCAACUGUUCUCUGCUUACGCUGAUGGGCGCAGCAUGUCAGGCACAGCGCCCUACCUGUGAGGCAGCUCAAUUCUCGGUCCCAUUCUACAGCAGACUCCUUUACUGUGCCAGACGGGGUGGCCACAUCAUCUGCCCUCCCUUCCAUUUGACAGAGGAGGAAACGGAGACGCAGAGACACUGAGC
rnacentral:lncRNA from 1 species